CGGCUCCCGGCCCCGCUGGCUCGCACACCUGAGCUAUCUCCAUCCUCGGAGACCGACGAGCUUUCCGUGUCCUCGUCCUCUGAGCUGCUCCCCUCGUUUUCGGCGUAGUCCACCUCCAUCUCAUCGUGAUGGUGCCCUGAUGAGUUCUUUACAUGAGUCAUAAUGAGUGUAAUUCUCCAUAAGUUUAAUCUCUCCGAGAGAGAGAGAGAGAGACGCAGAGGGAGAAGCAGGCUCCAUGCAGGGAGCCUGAUGUGGGACUCGAUCCCGGGUCUCCAGAAUCACGCCCUGGAUUGAAGGCGGUGCUAAACCACUGAGCCACCCGGGCUGCCUGAGAUCCUGCCUCCAAGGGGAGGCAAACUUAAUUCCAGUUGUCACCACAUGGUGGAGCUGAGACAUCAAUGUACAGUCCACAAAACUGUAUGGAUUGACCCAGGCCAGAUGCUGGUAGCUGGAAAAACAAAGGCAGAAUACCAGAGGCUACAACUAAUAACUAGUACUCAAAUCAGGGGCAGCAGGGAUUGGAACCAAUGCAGAGGACAAGCAAUGCUGAAAUAGAAAGAUUCCUGCUGAUAUAAUACCUGCGGUUGACAGCGGGUGCAGAGGGAGAAGAGAAAGAAUCUUAUGCAGUCUCCAGGCCCAGCACAGAGCUCCAUCUCACAACCCUGAGAUCAUGAUCUGAGCCACUAUAAUACUUCUUCUAAUGCUUCUUGACUUAUGUGUGAAUGUUGCCUGUUUUCUCUAAAAAUUAAAAUCAUAAUCUAUGAAAUUAUAACAGAAUGAAAGUAUAAAAUACAUCAACUUCAGAACUGGUGGUUAAAAGCAGCUAUGGUCAAAAUGCUUGAUAAUAAGAGCAUGAAGACAGUGACACGAGGGGUACUGUGGUUGAGCCUCUGUCUUUGGCUCCAGUUAUAAUCCCAGGGUCCUGGGAUUGAGACCCGAAUCAGGCUCCCUGCAAGAAGUCUGCUUUUCCUCUGCCUAUGUCUCUGCCUCUUUCUCUGUGUCUCUCAUGAAUAAAUCAAAUCUUAAAAAAAAAAAGACAGUGGCACCAAAGUUUACUAAUAUUCAUUGUAUUCUUCACUGUGAAUUUCACUUACAAACAUCCUUGAUGAAGCAGCAAAAAUUAUUGUUUAUGAAAUCCCAAGUACUGAGCACAUAUCUUUUAAACAUUUUCUUGGCAAAGUGGGAAGUAGCAUAAAGCAUAGUGCUGCACACUGAAGUGCAAUGGUGACCUUAAGGAAAAACACCUGUGCAGUUGAGUUGUGCUCUGACCUAGCAAUGUGAUUCAAGGACUGACAUUUUGACUAGAAUGAACUAACUGACAAGCUGAAGUUAUUCAGAGAUGGAUAUUUGGAAAAUAUUUUCACAAAGCAGAUAAGUAAAAUGAGCCUGUUUCCUAAAACAGUUGACAUUGUAUGAUUUCAAGGAUAAAAUUCAAGCUUCCAGAAAAAAAUUUGGAAUUUGGAAAACUUUUAUCCACCAUGGUGAACAUAACACCCAAUACUUUUUUUUUAUUUUAUUUAUUUAUUUGUUUGUUUAUUAAUUAGAGACAGAGAGAAAGAGGCAGAGACACAGGCAGAGGGAGAAGCAGGCGCCAUGUGGAGAGCCUGAGAUGGGACUCGAUCCCGGGAUCCCAGGAUCACGCCCUGGGCUGAAAGCGGCGCUAAACCGGUGAGCCACCUGGGCUGCCCAACACCCAAUACUUAAAGGAUUUUCUGAUGUAUGUGAUUUUUAAAAAAGAUUUAUUUAUUUAUUCAUGAGAGACACACAGAGAGAGGCAGAGACAUAGGCAGAGGGAGAAACAGGCUCCCUGAGGGGAGCCCGGUGCAGGACUCGAUCCCAGGACCCUGGGAUCACGACCUGAGCCAAAGACUGACG